rnacentral:misc_RNA from 1 species
GAUGAAGAACGUAGCGAAAUGCGAUAAGUAAUGUGAAUUGCAGAAUUCAGUGAAUCAUCGAAUCUUUUAACGCACAUUGCGCCCUCUGGUAUUCCGGGGGGCAUGCCUGUUCGAGCGUCAUUACAACCCUCAAGCUUUGCUUGGUAUUGGACAUUGCCAGUUUCUGGCAGGUCUUAAAAUCAGUGGCGGUGCCAUUUGGCUUCAAGCGUAGUAAUUCUUCUCGCUUUGGAGAUCCAAGUGGUUACUUGCCAAUAACCCCCAAUUUUUUCAGGUUGACCUCGGAUCAGGUAGGGAUACCCGCUGAACUUAAGCAUAUCAAUAAGCGGAGGA